UACAGAGGGGGCGAGCGUUGUUCGGAAUUACUGGGCGUAAAGGGCGCGUAGGCGGCCCGCUAAGUCGAACGUGAAAUCCCCAGGCUCAACCUGGGAACUGCGUCCGAUACUGGCAGGCUUGAAUCCGGGGGAGGGAUGUGGAAUUCCAGGUGUAGCGGUGAAAUGCGUAGAUAUCUGGAGGAACACCGGUGGCGAAGGCGGCAGCCUGGACCGGUAGUGACGCUGAGGCGCGAAAGCUAGGGGAGCAAACGGG
rnacentral:rRNA from 1 species